CAAUAGCGUAUAUUUAAGUUGUUGCAGUUAAAAGCUCGUAGUUGGAUUUCGGUUAAGAGCGACCGGUCCGCCGUUUGGUGUGCACUGGUUGGUUUUAACUUCCUGUAGAGGACGUGCUCUGGGUUUAACGACCUGGACUCGGAGUCUACGUGGUUACUUUGAAAAAAUUAGAGUGUUCAAAGCGGGCUUACGCUUGAAUAUUUCAGCAUGGAAUAACACUAUAGGACUCCUGUCCUAUUUCGUUGGUCUCGGGACGGGAGUAAUGAUUAAGAGGAACAGUUGGGGGCAUUCGUAUUUCAUUGUCAGAGGUGAAAUUCUUGGAUUUAUGAAAGACGAACUUCUGCGAAAGCAUUUGCCAAGGAUGUUUUCAUUA
rnacentral:rRNA from 1 species